AUUGAACGCUGGCGGCAGGCCUAACACAUGCAAGUCGAACGAGUGGCGGACGGGUGAGUAAUGUCUGGGAAACUGCCUGAUGGAGGGGGAUAACUACUGGAAACGGUAGCUAAUACCGCAUACCAUCAACUGUGCCCUGAUGUGAGUAGCUUGUUGGUGGGGUAACGGCUCACCAAGGCGACGAUCCCUAGCUGGCUUGAGAGGAGGACCUGCCACACUGGAACUGAGCCACGGUCCAGACUCCUACGGGAGGCAGCAGUAGGGAAUAUUACGCAAUGGGCGAAAGCCUGAUGCAGCCACGCCGCGUGUAUGAAGAAGGCCUUCGGUUUGUAAAGUACUGUCAGCGGGGAGGCGUUACCCGCAUAGGAAGCACCGGCUAACUCCGUGCCAGCAGCCGCGGUAAUUC
rnacentral:rRNA from 1 species